rnacentral:siRNA from 1 species
UAAUUGGAUAUUAGAUAUGCCUA